GGGGAAUUUUGGACAAUGGGCGCAAGCCUGAUCCAGCCAUGCCGCGUGUCUGAAGAAGGCCUUCGGGUUGUAAAGGACUUUUGUCAGGGAAGAAAAGGCUGUUGCUAAUAUCAAUAGCUGAUGACGGUACCUGAAGAAUAAGCACCGGCUAACUACGUGCCAGCAGCCGCGGUAAUACGUAGGGUGCGAGCGUUAAUCGGAAUUACUGGGCGUAAAGCGAGCGCAGACGGUUACUUAAGCAGGAUGUGAAAUCCCCGGGCUCAACCUGGGAACUGCGUUCUGAACUGGGUGACUAGAGUGUGUCAGAGGGAGGUAGAAUUCCACGUGUAGCAGUGAAAUGCGUAGAGAUGUGGAGGAAUACCGAUGGCGAAGGCAGCCUCCUGGGAUAACACUGACGUUCAUGCUCGAAAGCGUGGGUAGCAAGCAGGAUUAGAUACCCUGGUAGUCCACGCCCUAAACGAUGUCAAUUAGCUGUUGGGCAACUUGAUUGCUUAGUAGCGUAGCUAACGCGUGAAAUUGACCGCCUGGGGAGUACGGUCGCAAGAUUA
rnacentral:rRNA from 1 species